UAUUUCACUUAGCAUUAUACUGUCUGGGUCCUUCCAUGUUGUCUCAGAUGGUAUGAUCUGAUCCUUUUCUAUGACUGAGCAACAUGCCUGUUUGUAUCAUGU